GCUUACGGCCAUACCACCUUAGGCACGCCCGAUCUCGUCUGAUCUCGGAAGCUAAGCAGGGUCUGGCCUGGUUAGUACAUGGAUGGGUGACCGCCUGGGAAUACCAGGUGCUCUAAGCA
rnacentral:rRNA from 10 species